rnacentral:rRNA from 1 species
GUGAGGAAUAUUGGUCAAUGGAGGCAACUCUGAACCAGCCAAGUCGCGUGAAGGAUGAAGGUCUUAUGGAUUGUAAACUUCUUUUGCAAGGGAAUAAAGUGGGGGACGUGUCCUCCUUUGCAUGUACCUUGCGAAUAAGGAUCGGCUAACUCCGUGCCAGCAGCCGCGGUAAUACGGAGGAUCCGAGCGUUAUCCGGAUUUAUUGGGUUUAAAGGGUGCGCAGGCGGGAUGUUAAGUCGGCGGUGAAAUUUUGCAGCUCAACUGUAAAAGUGCCUUCGAUACUGGCUUUCUUGAGUGUGGAUGAAGUAGGCGGAAUUUGUGGUGUAGCGGUGAAAUGCUUAGAUAUCACGAGGAACUCCGAUUGCGCAGGCAGCUUACUAAACCACUACUGACGCUCAUGCACGAAGGCGUGGGGAUCAAACAGGAUUAGAAACCCUAGUAGUCC